UGGGGAAUCUUGCGCAAUGGGCGAAAGCCUGACGCAGCGACGCCGCGUGGGGGAAGAAGGCUUUCGGGUUGUAAACCCCUUUCAGGAGGGACGAAGCCACUCGGGUGAAUAGCCCAGAGGGUGACAGUACCUCCAGAAGAAGCCCCGGCUAACUACGUGCCAGCAGCCGCGGUAAUACGUAGGGGGCAAGCGUUGUCCGGAUUUAUUGGGCGUAAAGAGCGUGUAGGCGGUUUGGUAGGUCCGCUGUGAAAACUCGAGGCUCAACCUCGAGACGCCGGUGGAAACCAUCAGGCUAGAGUCCGGAAGAGGAGAGUGGAAUUCCUGGUGUAGCGGUGAAAUGCGCAGAUAUCAGGAAGAACACCCGUGGCUAAGGCGGCUCUCUAGUACGGUACUGACGCUGAGACGCGAAAGCGUGGGGAGCGAACAGGAUUAGAUACC
rnacentral:rRNA from 1 species